rnacentral:rRNA from 1 species
GACUACUGGGGUAUCUAAUCCUGUUUGCUACCCACGCUUUCGCUCCUCAGUGUCAGUACCGGCCCAGAGUGCUGCCUUCGCUGUCGGUGUUCUUCCUGAUAUCUGCGCAUUUCACCGCUACACCAGGAGUUCCGCACUCCCCUACCGGACUCUAGUCAGAGCAGUAUCAAAUGCAGGCUCAGGGUUGGGCCCUGAGAUUUCACAUCUGACUUACUCAACCACCUACGAGCCCUUUACGCCCAGUAAUUCCGGACAACGCUUGCUCCCUACGUAUCACCGCGGCUGCUGGCACGUAGUUGGCCGGAGCUUCUUCUGCAGGUACCGUCAUUUUCGUCCCUACUGAAAGCGGUUUACGACCCUAGGGCCUUCGUCCCGCACGCGGCAUUGCUGCGUCAGGCUUUCGCCCAUUGCGCAAGAUUCCCCACUGCUGCCCCCCGUAGG